rnacentral:lncRNA from 1 species
ACUCCUGGAGAAAUGGUGGGCGGUCCAAACGGUGAGCAGCACGCUCCUUACUUAGGUCAUGACCUCUGCCGACUAAAAAGGCUAAACUCAGCGUGGAUUAGGGCUAUACCAGGUACUGGACUCUUCUAGAGUACUGUCACAUCGGUUUGGUCUCUCCUCGUGGUAAACAGAUAACUGGAACAACUGACUUUCCUCUAGAGGAUUUGAACUGGAGGAGGCUUGAAGUUGAACAAUGGAACUCUCAGUACCAACUUCCCUUUACAGUCUGAUCUCAGAAAUCUGACAGCCAGUUGUAUUCCCCCAGACCCUCUACCUUCACCUGUACUGAGGUUGUCCCACAUGGCAGUUUCAGGCGCAAUUCUUCUGGAGAUGACAAAGGGCAGGAAGGUGCUUCAGCUUGGAGAUAACAGGAGUACCUAUCUCACAGGAUCAUCUCGAAGAUUCAAUAAAUGCCUGG